GUGCUUGGUUCAGCAGCACAUAUACUAAAAUUGGAACAAUUUGGGGAAGAUUAGCAUGGCUCCAGGCAAGGAUGACAUGCAAAUUUGUGAAGCAUUCCAAAUUUUU
ensembl:snRNA U6 U6 spliceosomal RNA